rnacentral:rRNA from 1 species
AUACGUAGGGGGCAAGCGUUGUCCGGAUUUACUGGGCGUAAAGGGCGCGUAGGCGGGAAGGCAAGUCAGAUGUGAAAUCUCCGGGCUCAACCCGGAAACUGCAUUUGAAACUGUCGUUCUUGGGUAUCGGAGAGGCAAGCGGAAUUCCUAGUGUAGCGGUGAAAUGCGUAGAUAUAAGGAGGAACACCAGUGGCGAAGGCGGCCGGCUGGACUGUACCUGACGUUGAGGCUCGAGAGCGUGGGGAGAAAACAGGAGGAGAUAGCCAGGUAGUCCUCGCCGUAAACGAUGAUCACUAGGUGUCGGUGGGUAUGGACCCAUCGGUGCCGCAGCAAACGCAGUAAGUGAUCCACCUGGGGAGUACGUUCGCAAGAAUGAAACUCAAAUGAAUUGACGGGG